rnacentral:rRNA from 1 species
UACGUAGGCAGCAAGCGUUGUUCGGAGUUACUGGGCGUAAAGGGUGCGUAGGCGGUUGUUUAAGUUUGGUGUGAAAUCUCCCGGCUCAACUGGGAGGGUGCGCCGAAUACUGAAUGACUAGAGUGCGGGAGAGGAUAAGUGGAAUUCCUGGUGUAGCGGUGAAAUGCGUAGAUAUCAGGAGGAACACCGGUGGUGUAGACGGCUAUCUGGGACCGUAAC